GAAGUUGGAAUCGCUAGUAAUCGCAGAUCAGCAUGCUGCGGUGAAUACGUUCCCGGGCCUUGUACACACCGCCCGUCACACCAUGGGAGUUGGUUCUACCCGAAGCCGGUGCGCUAACCGUAAGGAAGCAGCCGACCACGGUAGGGUCAGCGACUGGGGUGAAGUCGUAACAAGGUAGCCGUAGGGGAACCUGCGGCUGGAUCACCUCCUUUCUAAGG
rnacentral:rRNA from 1 species